CUACCCUGCAGAGCCAGAGCCUCGGAUGUGUGAGGAGUUGCCCCAGCUGGAUCAACCAAAUCAGGAAGAGACUUUGGCCAUUUCAAAAAUAAACUUCUCUGCCCACCUCAGUUCAUUCGGCUGAAACAGACCAGGAUCCCGCUGUCCUGCACCAUGUUUCAGACACACUGGCCUCCUUGCAGUUCCACAUGCCCUUCAUGCCCUCAUCUCCUGGAGCUUUACAGAUGGAGACCCACAUAUGGAAACACUCUCUCCAGCCUUCUCACACGCUUUGCCUGCUGAUCCUCUACUUGUCCUUCAGGACUUGGUUUCAACAGCAACCCCAACAGGAUGUGCUCCCAAAGCACAUGCACUUGCCACCAGGGCCACAUUGAUCGUUCAUGCUGAGAUCAACUAUUUCCUGUCUUCUCCCACCACUAGACUCCAAGAUCUGGGGUAUGCGCUCAGUAAAUAUCUGUUAAGCAAAAGAAUGAUUAAUUGUUUAAUUAUUUAUCUACAGUAUCAAGAAGUUCUAUAAGCCCCAGGAAAGAUAAAUAUAAAGAAAUGCACACCUAGACAUAUCAUCAUAAAACUGCAAAAAAAAAAAAAAAGACAAAAAGAAAAUCUUAAAAGCAGCCAGAGAAAAAAAAUUCAAGUACCUUCAAGUGAGCAAUAGAUUGACAGCUAAUGUUCCACACAAAAAAACCCCAAAAACCAAAAAAAAAAAAAAAAAAAAAAACAGAAGGCAGCAAACAAUGCAAUGGUAUGUAUCUACAAAGGACAGAAGAAAAUCAGCUGCCAACCUAGUAACACACUGUGCAUGGGGAAAACAUGCUUCAAGAAUGAAAGUUAAAGAAAGAGGCCGGGUGCGGUGGUUCACACCUGUAAUUCCAACACUUUGGGAGGCCAAGGUAGGUGGAUCACCUAAGGUCAGGAGUUCAAGACCAGCCUGGG
rnacentral:lncRNA from 1 species